AACGGUUGUGGUUUUUUCCCGAUUUUGGGUUUCCACGUUAAAUUCUUGUGUUGUUUUAUUUCUCAUUUUUUUCUCUUUACAAAAGGGACGGAGAUCUCGGGAUUUACGGGAAAGAGUCAUUUCUUUUUUCCCAACACAAGAAGCCUCUGUUCACCGAUUGAUCGUGAAGAACAAGUAAAUCCUCACAUUUUGGUCCACCUAAAUGUGAAUAGGAAGUAUAGAAACUACAAAAAAGUAAUUAUCAUAAAAAAGAGAGAAUAUUGUACAUAAAAUUCCAUUCCUGAUACAUGACAUUUAUCUAUAUUUCCUGGAUGGUGCUGAAAUGAUGAUAGAAA
rnacentral:lncRNA from 1 species